UCAUAUGCACAUGUCUACAAUGUUAAUGCACCAGAUCCCAAUAGAACUCUGUAAUUAAGCACACAUGAGAUAGAAUAGUACUAGUAUGGGGGACCUCCCAAGAAUUCGUAAUGUUUUACAUGCC
rfam:Picea glauca, whole genome shotgun sequence.